GGUUUGGCGAACCCACGGCGUACGUUCCCAAGGGCGCCCAGGCCUCGCACCGGUGACAGCGGCGUCGCAUCGUCUCCCAUCGCCGGCGUCUUCUCAUCGUGUUCUUUGGACACAGCAUCAGGGAGCAGUUCUGUCCUCGUUCCAUUCCCUUCUAACUCAGAGGAACUUUCUGUCCUCCCCUCCUUUUUCUCUACACACUCUUCGCGUAAACCACAUUUCCUGCUCUCAUCCUUUUCUCCCAAUACCUUUCCCCGUCUCUCAGUCAUCCCCUUCACCUCUAGCAGUAAGUGUCCUUUCUCAGUUCUCGUUCCUAGCGAUGUCCUAAGGCUGCCCGCUCUCCCUCUGGGUUUCCUCGAGGGCUGAGCAGCAGAGCACAGCCCCAGCGCUCCGCAGCCAUCCACAUAUCAGCCUUCACCAGAGGUAACAGCAAAGUCCCCGUGGGCACUCAGAGUGGCACAGCCUCAGGGCCUGACCUCAGAUGUCAUUGUGCUCAUCACACCGCAGAGCAAUGCCACGGGGUGGCUUUAGAAGCCUCCUACCUCCAUUUUGUUUGAGUGGUAACGCUGCACUAAGCAGACAAGAGCAGACAAGCAGGAACGUGUUCUAAGAGUUUCUAACUUUAGGACCAUGAAUCAGGAUCUGCUGUACUCGCUGCACAGAAUGGAUGCAAUUCCCAAGGCCCACACAGCAAACCUGAAAGCUGUCUUAGGCACGUUCCUCUCAAGUUGUACGUCUGUUGCUCUUGGAGCACACUGACCAACUCAGGAGAGCACAAGUGGCAAGCAGCAGCUUGGUGCAGUGAAUCCCGAGCGCAGCUCCCUCUCAUAGCUAUGCUCAUGUUAGCGCCUAUUGAAAGGUGAGCAGUAUUGUAUUGAGCAGUCUCACUUCGCCUCCCUUCCAGGUGUGCCUUCCUGUCUCCUUUGUACAGCAUUCCUGAUUUUGGAGGGUGAACUUUCUGCAAGUUAGCUUUCUGGGUCACUGCUGGGCAAGGCAAGAGCCAGGGCUGGCUUCGGGAAAGCUGAAGGAACUCCCAGCCUGGAAGAAGAAGGAGGACAAGGUCAGCGGCAGCAUUAGGCCACUUUGUGUUCUCCCUCUCCCUUAAAAAGUAUUCAGACUUCAACCAACGAUGCUUUAUGUGCUGCUGUCUUCAGGUCAGAGUCUGAGCUCUGUGAAUGGUAUGAUUUUACCUGCCACAGUGGUAGGUAGAAACGCUCGUUGCUGUGACUCGGCGGUCGUGUCACACUAUAAGCAGUAACACGUAGGUAAAGAAUACGAAAAUAUCUCAGGCUAAGAAAGGUUUUCUGUAUUGCAUCUGGCGUCCCCAUUGCUGUUUGGUGUGAGAAUUGGCAUUACGAAUUGCUACUGUCUGUCCUGCUCAACAAAGACAUACGUUGCAAGCCUGCUCCACGCUGGAGGGCACAAGUUACCCACUGCACUUUCUUCAACAAAAAACCCCACUCUGCAGGAAACAAAAUGAGGCCGCGGUGCAGAGAUGAGAAGAAAGGCAGCCUGCAACAACGGACACAGCGCUCAGAGAGAUUUUUGCCUCGGCGAGACAUUCUGCAAACAUGCUAAGGCUACAAAAUGCCCAAGUUGACAAAGACAUGCAACGCUGACCAUUCAAUAAGUCACGGCUAUUAGAGGAGCGACCAUGCCCACCUGGGCCGCAGGUCCCAUAGGACAGGGAUGGCGUACAGCGAUCAUGGCAACGCACUACACAGGACCUAGUAACCUGAGGUAGGUCUCUUCACAGUAAGAAAACAACAUCCUACACCAGUGUUACAUCCUGAUCUGCAGGAACCCGUUUAAAGUUCCAGGAGACGUGGAGUGGGGGACUGUUUCCUUAACAAGUGUGCAAUAAAGAAACAGGAAAUAUUGGUGUUGUUUAACCUUAGUAUACGUGAGCGGGACAAAGAGUUAGUGUUACUCGUGCCAGUGAAAGCCAACCUAAACCUCUGAGGAGUGUUAGCAGCUUCAAGAUAAAGGAGUCAGUCAGCUGGAGCAACUUGGAAAAGGCUUUCCUGCCAGCAUACAGGGUAAUGGUUUGAACCUUACGAUUAAUUUGUUACACGUCAUUCCAUAAACAGUUACAUUCUGGUUGUGUUAGAUCAGCGAAGCAGAAAGAGCAUAAACCCUGCUGAUACAGUCAGAAAUACUGCACCAGGACACUGAGAAAAUAGGAGGCUUUAACGUGACCCAGAAGUGGUUCUCCACUCAGGAGAUCACUAAAAACCCUGCUUUGGGAAAGCAUUAUGGCAAGCAGCAGCCGCUGCCGUGGUGAACAUUAGCGAUGCUCCAAAUAGCUUUGAUAAAUUACAAUGCAAUAGAGUUACACCACAGUGCUCUUCUCCCCUGUGCUAGACAACAAUGAUGUGACAAUAAAGGACACUAUUGCAAAGCUUCACUUCCACUCAGACACGCAGAAAAUCUGGCACUAGGAAAAGACAACUGUAAGAGACAAAAUGGUGUCUGAUACAGCCCGAUAACAAAGCCAGAUCUCCGGUACCAUAAACUGUACAAAAAUGAUAGAAAAGAAUAUGCACUGUUAUUAAUACAGUGCUUAUUUUAAUAUAAAAUAAACAGCUUACAUUUCCACUGUAAAUAUAGGCUAUAUACAGAAUUAUGUAUAGAUAUAGCUACAUGUAUAAAGCUUCAUUAUAGGCCUCUGAUACAUUUAUAACUAUGGCUCCCUGAGCCAUUCGUAGAGUGCAUUUAAUAACAAAAAAAAAUUAGUAAUAUGAUUAUGGAAUAAAUACAAUAAUAAAAACAAGAAGAAUUCUUCUGACAUGGUUUUAAAAACUCUCUGGCUUGACGUACUGUGCUAAAAAAUAAAGGAUGAAAAGGCAAUAAUCUGCUUGGAGGAGGAGGGAGAGCUGACCUGCCACAGGCAGGGAGUGCAGCUCUCCAAAAUUAAAGUGACUUUGCCCUGAAUUUUAGCCCUUGACAGCGACCUUGUUCUCUGCAGCAGCAAACAUAGCAUAGAAGCGCGAGUUCUCAUUGGCCAGAAGGGCAGACGGCGUGUCGAAUUCCACUACCUAAAAACAAACAAGGCAGGUAAAGCACGUUAGGAGAAGCCAGCAGAAGAAGGAUUCCCAUUCACACCCCCUUGGACUUGUCACGUGGCAGUACAGAAGCCAAAACUUGGCAGUCCUUAAAUGAGACAACAGACAGCGAAAGCAUCUGCCUUUAUGCACACAUGCUAUACACAGGGAUGCUUUGAACAACAUUACACAGAUGCUGGGAGAACCCAGCAGGCAGC
rnacentral:lncRNA from 1 species